rnacentral:rRNA from 1 species
GAAGCCGCGAAUAGCUCAUUACAACAGCCAUCGUUUAUUAGAAUAUCGUUAUCCUACUUGGAUAACUGUGGCAAUUCUAGAGCUAAUACAUGCAAUAAAGCUCUGCCCGCAAGGAACGAGCGCAUUUAUUAGAAUAAAAACCAAUCGGGUUUCGGCCCGUAAUUUGGUGAAUCUGAAUAACUUUGCCAAUCGCACAGUCCUAGUACUGGCGAUGUAUCUUUCAAGUGUCUGCCUUAUCAACUUUCGAUGGUACGCUAUACGCCUACCAUGGUAGUAACGGGUAACGGAGAAUAAGGGUUCGACUCCGGAGAGGGAGCCUGAGAAACGGCUACCACAUCCAAGGAAGGCAGCAGGCGCGCAAAUUACCCACUUCCAGAACGGAGAGGUAGUGACGAAAAAUAACGAGACAGUCCUCUUCGAGGUCUGUCAUCGGAAUGGGUACAAUUUAAA